rnacentral:misc_RNA from 1 species
AUACAUAAUAUUAUUAUGUAUACAUAAGAAAAUUUCUUAGAAACUAAAUUAUGUGCUAAACAAAAAGACUAAUAAUAAAAAAAAUAUAUAAUAAUAACAAUAACCACUAAGUCAACUGUUCGCGACAUCGCGCACCGGCAUAGCUGACAGGGCGGUGGCUUGCUGCGUAUACGGCUGGUGUUGCGUUCCCCCGCGCGCCCCUCCCCUUCGAGCGGUCACUUCUACUCUUAGCCGCACCGGGCUCACAUCAAAUAUCAUCAAAGUCUUUAUAAGCUUAUAUUUUCUACAAUAAAUACAGUCCACUUGCUUUACAUCUUUUAUUUACAAAUGGUCCUUCGAAUGAAGAAAGCGACCUAUAAUUAUAAAAAUUGAAGAUAACACGCCACACGUGCCAUAUUGGAUUUUUUCUACAUUGGACAAACGAUCGCCGGCCACAACUCGUACAGCCCAUUAUAAGACGUUUGGAGUUAAAGGAACAAGAAGGAAAUAGUACAGAAGAAUAGAGAAGCUGAGACAGCAUUUUUGGAGCCGCUAUACACAUGAAUAUAUACAUCAACUUCAACAGAAACAGAAAUGGCACGCAUCUUCUGGGAAACUGGAAAUUGGAGACAUAGUCCUGAUCAGGGAUGCCAGUGCACCACCAUUACUUUGGUCCAUGGGGAGAGUAAUAAAGCUGAUGAAGGGCAGUGACGGAGUUUGCAGAGUUGCCGAAGUACAAACAAAGAGAGGCCCUAUAAUUCGAAGUUUUAACAAUCUCUGUCCUCUUCCAGUUAAACCAAUUUGAAGAUCAUAAUCUUCAAGGCCCGGGAGUAUGUUCGCGACAUCGCGCACCGGCAUAGCUGACAGGGCGGUGGCUUGCUGCGUAUACGGCUGGUGUUGCGUUCCCCCGCGCGCUCCUCCCCUUCGAGCGGUCACUUCUUCUCUUAGCCGCACCAGGCUCACAUCAAAUAUCAUCAAAGUCUUUAUAAGCAUAUAUUUUCUACAAAUAAAUACAGUCCACUUGCUUUACAUCUUUUAUUUACACAAACAUCAAC